UGGGGAAUUUUGGACAAUGGACGCAAGUCUGAUCCAGCCAUGCCGCGUGCGGGAAGAAGGCCUUCGGGUUGUAAACCGCUUUUGUCAGGGAAGAAACGAGUUUCUCUAAUACAGAGACUUAAUGACGGUACCUGAAGAAUAAGCACCGGCUAACUACGUGCCAGCAGCCGCGGUAAUACGUAGGGUGCAGGCGUUAAUCGGAAUUACUGGGCGUAAAGCGUGCGCAGGCGGUUAUAUAAGACAGAUGUGAAAUCCCCGGGCUCAACCUGGGAACUGCCUUUGUGACUGCAUAGCUAGAGUACGGUAGAGGGGGAUGGAAUUCCGCGUGUAGCAGUGAAAUGCGUAGAUAUGCGGAGGAACACCGAUGGCGAAGGCAAUCCCCUGGACCUGUACUGACGCUCAUGCACGAAAGCGUGGGGAGCAAACA
rnacentral:rRNA from 1 species